UACGGGGGGAGCAAGCGUUGUUCGGAUUUACUGGGCGUAAAGGGCGCGUAGGCGGUCAGCACAAGUCAGUUGUGAAAUCUCCCGGGCUUAACUCGGAAAGGUCAACUGAUACUGUGCGACUAGAGUGCGGAAGGGGCAACUGGAAUUCUCGGUGUAGCGGUGAAAUGCGUAGAUAUCGAGAGGAACACCUGCGGCGAAGGCGGGUUGCUGGGCCGACACUGACGCUGAUGCGCGAAAGCCAGGGGAGCGAACGGG
rnacentral:rRNA from 1 species